rnacentral:tRNA from 1 species
GCGUUAGUAAAUCCGUUGGCUUUA